UACGUAGGUGGCGAGCGUUGUCCGGAUUUACUGGGCGUAAAGGGAGCGUAGGCGGACUUUUAAGUGAGAUGUGAAAUACCCGGGCUCAACUUGGGUGCUGCAUUUCAAACCGGAAGUCUAGAGUGCAGGAGAGGAGAAUGGAAUUCCUAGUGUAGCGGUGAAAUGAGUAGAGAUUAGGAAGAACACCAGUGGCGAAGGCGAUUCUCUGGACUGUAACUGACGCUGAGGCUCGAAAGCGUGGGGAGCAAACAGGAUUAGAUACCCGGGUAGUCCCU
rnacentral:rRNA from 1 species